CAGCAGCCGCGGUAACACGUAGGUGGCAAGCGUUGUCCGGAAUUAUUGGGCGUAAAGGGCUCGCAGGCGGUUUCUUAAGUCUGAUGUGAAAGCCCCCGGCUCAACCGGGGAGGGUCAUUGGAAACUGGGAAACUUGAGUGCAGAAGAGGAGAGUGGAAUUCCACGUGUAGCGGUGAAAUGCGUAGAGAUGUGGAGGAACACCAGUGGCGAAGGCGACUCUCUGGUCUGUAACUGACGCUGAGGAGCGAAAGCGUGGGGAGCGAACAGGAUUAGAUACCCCGGUAGUCCCUGUCUCUUAUAC
rnacentral:rRNA from 1 species